UACGUAGGGUGCAAGCGUUAAUCGGAAUUACUGGGCGUAAAGCGUGCGCAGGCGGUGAUGUAAGACAGGUGUGAAAUCCCCGGGCUUAACCUGGGAACUGCAUUUGUGACUGCAUCGCUGGAGUGCGGCAGAGGGGGAUGGAAUUCCGCGUGUAGCAGUGAAAUGCGUAGAUAUCGGAAGGAACACCAGUGGCGAAAGCGGCUUCCUGGUCCAGCACCGACGUUCAGGCACGAAAGCGUGGGGAGCAAACAGG
rnacentral:rRNA from 1 species